GGCCCUGGGUCCAAGCUCUGAACCACUACACCACCAUCUCCAACACCAUUGUCUUCACCAGCAAUUGUGCUCCUGGCUCUCUUACAAGCUCAAGCUAUUUUUUUUUAAGGCAAGUGCCUUAAUGUCAUUGGGUUUUUGUUUCCCAUCUCUAGGAUCAUAAGCCUGAAGCAGCUGGCACACGAGGAAUGUAAGCAGCAGCUGCCUGGGUGUCUGAAGCUCCUGAGCUCUGGGCCUGUACAGGCCGGCGGUUGCCAGCUCCCCUGCCAAGGGGGUGUGGUUCUGCGCUGACCCAUUUCUCAGGCUUCCCUGCUUUCCCAUUACCCUGUCUGAAAGCCCACAGCUGGGCCCCGAACACCAGCUUCUUCCUGUGCCUGAAGCCGCUGGGCGAGGGAAGGGAAAGAAGCCCGCACCAUUCAGGCUGACCUGCUCAUCCUCAUCUGAUCUCACCCUGCAAUUAUCCUGCAACUUACCCUGUUUUGCAAGUGAGAAAACUGAACCUCAGAGAGGCAGUGCGCCCACCGACUUAUCUUGCAACUGGAAAGGGCCUGUCUUACUCUAAAGUCGUCUCUGCCCACCUCACCCACACCCACCGACGUGCAUCGCAGCACCAUGCUUGCAUGGGUGUCACUACCCGUCCUGCUCACAGCGCAUGGCACAGGGCUGGAACUCAGGAACCAUUUAUUGUAUGGACGGAUGAACACACGCCCACACAUCUCCAUGAGUAAGGGAGCAUGGGAGCGGUGGAGUCACUGUGUCUGUCUCCUGCCUCUGGGUCAGUCACCUGUGAGGCGCAGGGGUGUGAGUCUCUUCUUGAAGGGACUUGCCGGAGCCGUACUUGUGCCACACUUGCUCAUUUCCCUGCUUUCCCCAGGAUCUAAACCACAUUCCCCUGGGACUCUCACACACCUGUCCUUUCGUGAGGACACUCUCCUGGUCAACCACAGGAAGAGGGAAAGGAGAGGUGCUCAAAGGAGGAAGUCACAUCUAUGGAAAACUCUAGUCUCCUAUCAAGGUUAAGCCCAGGGCACUCUUUCCUGUGGACACCUGUCAAAACACUUGCAAGUGUCUGUUUAUCUCUGUUUCCAUCUCAGUCUCCCAAGGGAUGGCAAAGGAAGGUCAGGGCAGCGUCUGAUCUCUCGAGGCCACCAGCUCUGGCCAGCCCAGAGCAGGCACACACAGGCUGCACGGGACGAGAUUACUUUCACGAUGACUGUGCUGCUCUUCCCAACCACAGCAACUGAUCUUCACACACAACCCUCUGAGGGAGGGGCUGUUAUCCCAUUUUAAAGUCGGGGAAACUGAGGUUCAAAUUUUCAAAGCCCUCUGCCCUGGCUCACACAGCUUGAAAGGGGAGAAGCUGGGUCUGAAUGAACACAUUCCUCUUGGUUCAUCCUCACAGCCACCUCAGAAGUAUGGAUUAGGGUCUUCAUUUAAAACGAGGUGCAGAGAGAUUGAGUAACAUGUCCAAAGUCACACAGCUGCGACUGUUCAUGAUUAGCUUGGAACCUAGCCCGAUUCCACGGCCUUGGGACAACACCAGGAGCACUGCCGAGGAGUUGGGAGUCAAAGCCAUUUGGGAACCUCUAGUUUCCUGCGGAAGCCCCGGCUUCCUGCUGGUGCCUGGCAGCCACCCAGGGCAGUCUGCUGGCUCCUCCCCUGCCUCCCCUGGGGCCCGGAGCUCCUCUCCUCGGCCAGGCUGAGGGACAAUCUGCCGGGAGCCUUUGGAUUUGGAACCCAGCGGCCAUCUUUCCUCAGCCUUCCCCCUUCCUCACCCUGCGGGCACUCUCAACUUUGGGGAGGGUUGGUGGGGACUGAGGUGGGAGGUGCCGAGGGAGAGACCUGAAAGGAGGGGUCUGCAGCCGCAGAGGGUGCUUAAGCGCUGGUGGGCCCUGUGCUGAGGUCUGGGGUCUGCGUGACUGAUAUGGGGACCAGACCCUUCUGGAUAGGUGCGGUCCACUGACCCCCGACCACAGCAGGUGGGAUGUAAAUUAGACUCUGUAAAGCAUGGGCUCUGGACACACGGCCUGGGAUGCAUAACAUGGAGGGUGUGGUCCUUGGACCUGGAUGCUGACAGGCUUCCUGCUGGGCCUGAUUAGGAGAGAACCCUCAGACACCGAGACUCAGAAGCCCUGGCUUCUCUAACGCCAUUCAUUCAUUCAGCUCAGAGGAAUACCACCCGGGGACCCGGAUGCAGCGGCUUCCACGCCUCCACCUCCACCUGGACAUCUGUCACUGCGGGGUGGGGGACAAUGGAGCCAUUUGCUGAGCUGCCAGAGGCUGCGUGGUGGAGCAGGUUGACCACCUGGGGCAUGAGGCUGACUUCACCCAGUUCAGGUUUCCCGGCCCAUCCAGCGGAGUGCAUUCCUGAGAGCACAGCUCUGGAAUCAACAACUGGCUGACUCCUGAGUCCCCAACUCAUGAUUUGUGUCCUUUUGGAAGUUUCUUAACCUCACUGGGCCUCAGUUUCUUCAUCUGUACACCGAGUGUAAAUAAUACU